rnacentral:rRNA from 1 species
UACGUAGGUGGCAAGCGUUGUCCGGAAUUAUUGGGCGUAAAGCGCGCGCAGGCGGUUUGCUAAGACAGGUGUGAAAUCCCCGGGCUUAACCUGGGAACUGCGCUUGUAACUGGCAAGCUGGAGUGUGGCAGAGGGGGGUGGAAUUCCACGUGUAGCAGUGAAAUGCGUAGAGAUGUGGAGGAACACCGAUGGCGAAGGCAGCCCCCUGGGCUAACACUGACGCUCAUGCACGAAAGCGUGGGGAGCAAACAGG